rnacentral:rRNA from 1 species
GACGAACGCUGGCGGCGUGCCUAAUACAUGCAAGUCGAACGCUGAAGGAGGAGCUUGCUUCUCUGGAUGAGUUGCGAACGGGUGAGUAACGCGUGGGUAACCUGCCUGGUAGCGGGGGAUAACUAUUGGAAACGAUAGCUAAUACCGCAUAAGAGUAGAUGUUGCAUGACAUUUGCUUAAAAGGUGCAAUUGCAUCACUACCAGAUGGACCUGCGUUGUAUUAGCUAGUUGGUGAGGUAACGGCUCACCAAGGCGACGAUACAUAGCCGACCUGAGAGGGUGAUCGGCCACACUGGGACUGAGACACGGCCCAGACUCCUACGGGAGGCAGCAGUAGGGAAUCUUCGGCAAUGGACGGAAGUCUGACCGAGCAACGCCGCGUGAGUGAAGAAGGUUUUCGGAUCGUAAAGCCCUGUUGUAAGAGAAGAACGAGUGUGAGAGUGGAAAGUUCACACUGUGACGGUAUCUUACCAGAAAGGGACGGCUAACUACGUG